rnacentral:rRNA from 1 species
UAGGGAAUCUUCAGCAAUGGGCGAAAGCCUGACGGAGCAACGCCGCGUGAGUGAUGAAGGUCUUCGGAUCGUAAAACUCUGUUAUUAGGGAAGAACAAAUGUGUAAGUAACUAUGCACGUCUUGACGGUACCUAAUCAGAAAGCCACGGCUAACUACGUGCCAGCAGCCGCGGUAAUACGUAGGUGGCAAGCGUUAUCCGGAAUUAUUGGGCGUAAAGCGCGCGUAGGCGGUUUUUUAAGUCUGGUGUGAAAGCCCACGGCUCAACCGUGGAGGGUCAUUGGAAACUGGAAAACUUGAGUGCAGAAGAGGAAAGUGGAAUUCCAUGUGUAGCGGUGAAAUGCGCAGAGAUAUGGAGGAACACCAGUGGCGAAGGCGACUUUCUGGUCUGUAACUGACGCUGAUGUGCGAAAGCGUGGGGAUCAAACAGG